UACGUAGGCAGCAAGCGUUGUUCGGAGUUACUGGGCGUAAAGGGUGUGUAGGCGGUUCUUUAAGUUUGCUGUGAAAUCUCCCGGCUUAACCGGGAGGGUGCGGUGAAUACUGAGGGACUAGAGUACGGGAGAGGAAAGUGGAAUUCCUGGUGUAGCGGUGAAAUGCGCAGAUAUCAGGAGGAACACCUAUGGCGAAGGCAGCUCGCUGGGACGGUAUUGACGCUGAGACGCGAAAGCGUGGGGAGCGAACAGG
rnacentral:rRNA from 1 species